rnacentral:ncRNA from 1 species
UCCCGACAGGGGCAAACUGCCGGUGACGGCAGGACGCAAAGCUUCCGGGCUGUCAACAGCUAGCGGGGUUGCGAAG